rnacentral:lncRNA from 1 species
GGAGAACCUCCUACGACGUGAUAGCCACCUGGAAAAAACGCCCAGAACCAAGGAACCGAUGCGGGUCUGUUUUCUGUUGGUGAUGAGCCCUUGGUAGAUCUGAAACUUAGCGGGAUUGUCUCCAAGUCAGAGACUGCAGUACAGCAAAUCACGUGUCCAAAGUCACCCAAGAUCUCGAUGACCGAGCGGAAAAUACCGUGUACUUUCAUAACUACUUCUAGCCUGACGGAGGGAAAAAUUCAAGUCAUCUAAAAAUAGAAAACCAUGGUAGUUUUAAAAAUUAGAAAUCUUUAGUGCUGCCUGCCUUUGUUCUCUUUUUCAGUACACCACUGGGCCAGCCCCUAAAAGUCACAUUUUAAGAACCAGUUGUGGGGGCCAGCCAGGUAGUGUAGUGGUUAAGUUCGUGCACUCCACUUUGGCCACCUGGGGUUUGCAGGUUUGGAUCCAGGGCACAGACUUACA